rnacentral:tRNA from 1 species
GCCCUGCUGGCGCAAUGGUAGCGCGCAAGACUUCUAAUCUUGAGGUUGCGGGUUCGAGUCCCGCGUAGGGUU